ACGUAGGGUGCGAGCGUUAAUCGGAAUUACUGGGCGUAAAGCGUGCGCAGGCGGCUUUGCAAGACAGAGGUGAAAUCCCCGGGCUCAACCUGGGAACUGCCUUUGUGACUGCAAGGCUAGAGUACGGCAGAGGGGGAUGGAAUUCCGCGUGUAGCAGUGAAAUGCGUAGAUGUGCGGAGGAACACCAAUGGCGAAGGCAAUCCCCUGGGCCUGUACUGACGCUCAUGCACGAAAGCGUGGGGAGCAAACAGGA
rnacentral:rRNA from 1 species